ensembl:misc_RNA Metazoa_SRP Metazoan signal recognition particle RNA
GCUGGGUAUAGUGGCGUGCACCUGCAGUCUCAGCUACUCGGGAGGCUGAGGCAGGAGAAUCACUUGAACCCGGGAGGUGGAGGUUGCAGUGAGCCAAGAUCAGGCCACUGCACUCCAGCCUGGGUGACAGAGUGAGACCCUGUCUCAA